GACGAACGCUGGCGGCGUGCUUAACACAUGCAAGUCGAACGAAGUGGCGAACGGGUGAGUAACGCGUAAUCAACCUGCCCUUCAGAGGGGGACAACAGUUGGAAACGACUGCUAAUACCGCAUACUGAAGGAGGGGAUUGCGUCUGAUUAGCUAGUGGGAGGGGUAACGGCCCACCAAGGCGAUGAUCAGUAGCCGGUCUUGGAGGAGGAACGGCCACAUUGGGACUGGGAAACGGCCCAGACUCGUACGGGAGUCAGCAGUGGGGAGGCUUCCGCAAUGGAGGAAAAGCGGACGGGGCAACGCCCCGUGAGUGAUGACGGCCUUCGGGUUGUAGAGCUCUGGUAAUCGGGGCGCGGUACCCGAAUAGAAAGCCACGGCUAACUACGUGCCAGCAGCCGCGGUAAUUC
rnacentral:rRNA from 1 species